UACGUAGGGUGCAAGCGUUGUCCGGAAUUAUUGGGCGUAAAGAGCUCGUAGGCGGCUUGUCGCGUCGACUGUGAAAUCCCUGGGCUCAACCCAGGAACUGCGUCCGAUACUGGUUGGCUUGAAUCCGGGAGAGGGAUGUGGAAUUCCAGGUGUAGCGGUGAAAUGCGUAGAUAUCUGGAGGAACACCGGUGGCGAAGGCGACAUCCUGGACCGGUAUUGACGCUGAGGCGCGAAAGCCAGGGGAGCAAACGGG
rnacentral:rRNA from 1 species